UACAGAGGUCUCAAGCGUUGUUCGGAUUCAUUGGGCGUAAAGGGUGUGUAGGUGGCGCCGUAAGUCGGGUGUGAAAUUUCGGAGCUUAACUCCGAAACUGCAUUCGAUACUGCGGUGCUUGAGGACUGGAGAGGAGACUGGAAUUCAUGGUGUAGCGGUGAAAUGCGUAGAGAUCAUGAGGAAGACCAGUGGCGAAGGCGGGUCUCUGGACAGUUCCUGACACUGAGACACGAAGGCCAGGGGAGCAAACGGG
rnacentral:rRNA from 1 species